rnacentral:rRNA from 1 species
GGCAGCCCUUAUACAUGCAAGUCGAACGAGAAAGUUCCUUCGGGAGCGAGUAAAGUGGCGGACGGGUGAGUAACGCGUAGGAAUCUACCUUUCAGUGGGGGAUAGCUCGGGGAAACUCGAAUUAAUACCGCAUACACCCUUCGGGGGAAAGAGGGCCUCUCCUUGGAAGCUCUCGCUGUUAGAUGAGCCUGCGUGAGAUUAGCUUGUUGGUAAGGUAAUGGCUUACCAAGGCUACGAUCUCUAGCUGGUCUGAGAGGACGAUCAGCCACACUGGGACUGAGACACGGCCCAGACUCCUACGGGAGGCAGCAGUAGGGAAUAUUGGACAAUGGGGGCAACCCUGAUCCAGGCAUGCCGCGUGUGUGAAGAAGGCCUUAGGGUUGUAAAGCACUUUAAGUGAGGAAGAAAAGAUUUAAAUUAAUACUUUAAGUCCCUGACAUUACUCACAGAAUAAGGACCGGCUAACUCCGUGCCAGCAGCCGCGGUAAUACGGAGGGUCCAAGCGUUAAUCGGAAUUACUGGGCGUAAAGCGCGCGUAGAUGGUUUAUUCAGUUGGGUGUGAAAUCCCUGGGCUCAACCCAGGAACUGCAUUCAAAACUUAUAAACUAGAGUACGAAAGAGGAGAGUAGAAUUCAUGGUGUAGCGGUGAAAUGCGUAGAGAUCAUGAGGAAUACCAGUGGCGAAGGCGACUCUCUGGUUCGAGACUGACAUUGAGGUGCGAAAGCGUGGGUAGCAAACAGGAUUAGAUACCCUGGUAGUCCACGCCGUAAACGAUGAGAACUAGCCGUUGGAUCUUUAGAUUCAGUGGCGCAGCUAACGCAUUAAGUUCUCCGCCUGGGGAGUACGGCC